rnacentral:tRNA from 1 species
GGAGGAGUGCCCGAGUGGUCAAAGGGAGCAGACUGUAAAUCUGCCGGCGUAAGCCUACAGAGGUUCAAAUCCUUUCUCCUCCACCA